AUGCAGAAGACGUGUUUGGAGCCAUCUGUGCCUCUGAAACAGACCCCCAUACAAAAGUGCUGUCUUGGCCCUACGAGACAGCUCAUGUGGGGCUGGGAGGCACCUGGGAAGUGAGGCCCACAAACAUGUCAGAGAUCUCGGCCUCAGCACCAGAGUGACAUCAUUUGAGAAAGACUGUUCUAGUCCAACCCUGCAGUUUUAUAGAUGGAGAAACUGAAGCCCAGAGACGGAAAGUGAUACUGAAAGUGAUUUCAACAGCUGGACUCAGAGUUGGUCUGAGACUCCUGGUCUGACACCUUUGAAUUCGGUCAGCUUCUCAGUUCGGCUUGGCUGAGGGUACACUGUGUGCCAGAGAAGCAUAAGGGCCGCUGCCACCAUUAAGUAGAGAAAAG